UGGGCGAAAGCUGACGGAGCACGCCGCGUGAGGGAUGAAGGUCUCUGGGCUGUAAACCUCUUUUAUCAAGGAAGAAGAUCUUGACGGUACUUGAUGAAUAAGCCACGGCUAAUUCCGUGCCAGCAGCCGCGGUAAUACGGGAGUGGCAAGCGUUAUCCGGAAUUAUUGGGCGUAAAGCGUCCGCAGGCGGCCCUUCAAGUCUGCUGUUAAAAAGUGGAGCUUAACUCCAUCAUGGCAGUGGAAACUGUUGGGCUUGAGUGUGGUAGGGGCAGAGGGAAUUCCCGGUGUAGCGGUGAAAUGCGUAGAUAUCGGGAAGAACACCAGUGGCGAAGGCGCUCUGCUGGGCCAUCACUGACGCUCAUGGACGAAAGCCAGGGGAGCGAAAGGGAUUAGAUACCCCUGUAGUCCUGGCCGUAAACGAUGAACACUAGGUGUCGGGGGAAUCGACCCCCUCGGUGUCGUAGCCAACGCGUUAAGUGUUCCGCCUGGGGAGUACGCACGCAAGUGUGAAACUCAAAGGAAUUGACGGGGGCCCGCACAAGCGGUGGAGUAUGUGGUUUAAUUCGAUACAACGCGAAGAACCUUACCAGGGUUUGACAUCCUGCGAAUCUCUUGGAAACGAGAGAGUGCCCUCGGGAACGCAGUGACAAGGUGGUGCAUGGCGUCGUCAGCUCGUGUCGUGAGAUGUUGGGUUAAGUCCCGCAACGAGCGCAACCCACGUCUUUAGUUGCCAGCAUUCAGUUGGGCACUCUAGAGAGACCGCCGGUGAUAAACCGGAGGAAGGUGUGGAUGACGUCAAGUCAUCAUGCCCCUUACAUCCUGGGCUACACACGUACUACAAUGCUACGGACAAAGGGCAGCAAGUUCGCGAGGACAAGCAAAUCCCAUAAACCGUGGCUCAGUUCAGAUCGUAGGCUGCAACUCGCCUACGUGAAGGAGGAAUCGCUAGUAAUCGCAGGUCAGCAUACUGCGGUGAAUACGUUCCCGGGCCUUGUACACACCGCCCGUCACACCAUGGAAGUUGGCCACGCCCGAAGCCGUUACUCCAACCCUCGGGAGGAGGACGUCGAAGGUGGGGCUGAUGACUGGGGUGAAGUCGUAACAAGGUAACC
rnacentral:rRNA from 1 species